rnacentral:rRNA from 1 species
GACGAACGCUGGCGGCGUGCCUAAUACAUGCAAGUAGAACGCUGAAGGAGGAGCUUGCUUCUCUGGAUGAGUUGCGAACGGGUGAGUAACGCGUAGGUAACCUGCCUGGUAGCGGGGGAUAACUAUUGGAAACGAUAGCUAAUACCGCAUAAGAGUGGAUGUUGCAUGACAUUUGCUUAAAAGGUGCACUUGCAUCACUACCAGAUGGACCUGCGUUGUAUUAGCUAGUUGGUGGGGUAACGGCUCACCAAGGCGACGAUACAUAGCCGACCUGAGAGGGUGAUCGGCCACACUGGGACUGAGACACGGCCCAGACUCCUACGGGAGGCAGCAGUAGGGAAUCUUCGGCAAUGGACGGAAGUCUGACCGAGCAACGCCGCGUGAGUGAAGAAGGUUUUCGGAUCGUAAAGCUCUGUUGUAAGAGAAGAACGAGUGUGAGAGUGGAAAGUUCACACUGUGACGGUAUCUUACCAGAAAGGGACGGCUAACUACAUGCCAGCAGCCGCGGUAAUACGUAGGUCCCGAGCGUUGUCCGGAUUUAUUGGGCGUAAAGCGAGCGCAGGCGGUUAGAUAAGUCUGAAGUUAAAGGCUGUGGCUUAACCAUAGUAGGCUUUGGAAACUGUUUAACUUGAGUGCAAGAGGGGAGAGUGGAAUUCCAUGUGUAGCGGUGAAAUGCGUAGAUAUAUGGAGGAACACCGGUGGCGAAAGCGGCUCUCUGGCUUGUAACUGACGCUGAGGCUCGAAAGCGUGGGGAGCAAACAGG